rnacentral:tRNA from 1 species
GCCCACGUGGUGAAACUGGUAAACACACCGGUUUUGGAAACCGGUACCGUGGCAGGUUUGUGGGUUCGAGUCCCACCGUGGGCACCA